GACGUAGGGCGCGAGCGUUGUCCGGAUUUAUUGGGCAUAAAGAGCUCGUAGGCGGCUUGUCGCGUCGACUGUGAAAUCCCGCGGCUCAACUGCGGGUCUGCAGUCGAUACGGGCAGGCUAGAGUUCGGUAGGGGAGACUGGAAUUCCUGGUGUAGCGGUGAAAUGCGCAGAUAUCAGGAGGAACACCGAUGGCGAAGGCAGGUCUCUGGGCCGAUACUGACGCUGAGGAGCGAAAGCGUGGGGAGCGAACAGG
rnacentral:rRNA from 1 species